rnacentral:rRNA from 1 species
AGCUCCAUUAGCGUAUAUUAAAGUUGUUGCAGUUAAAAAGCUCGUAGUUGGAUUUCGGUGUGGGCCAGUCGGUCGGCCGCAAGGCUUGUUCACUGGCUGGUCUGCUCUCUCAAUCUCAAAGACUGCACGUGCUCUUCACUGUAGUGUGUGUCAGGAUUUGGGACGUUUACUUUGAAAAAAUUAGAGUGUUCAAAGCAGGCACGUUGUGGCCACUGAAUACAUGAGCAUGGAAUAAUGGAAUAGGACUACGGUCCCUAUUUCGUUGGUUUCGAGGACCGAAGUAAUGAUUAAGAGGGACAGUUGGGGGCAUCCGUAUUUCGUAGUCAGAGGUGAGAUUCUUGGAUCUACGAAAGACGAACAACUGCGAAAGCAUUUGCCUAGAGUGUUUUCAUUAAUCAAG